CCCUCCGCGUGCCGCUGGUUUAUCUGUGCAGAGAGGGACACCCAAAGGGGGACAGUGAGCCCACUGUGUCUUUUAGAACCCAAAGCGAGUUACUGCAAACCUCAGGCAAUUGAAGUGAAUAUUGGCUAGCUCAAAAGGCUGUGAAGAUGACCACCGUAUCUAUCUGAGUAAUUUUUUUCUUCUGUCUCAGUCUUGAAAUCAGGCAUGGUUAUUUUUAUUUUCGGUGUAUGCAGGCUUAACCUAUGUGCUUAUAUUCACAAUGAACUCUUGAAUCGGAUCCUCUGUGUUUUGCUGGGGAGUAUUCAUUCCCCACUUGACCUGCUUUGUUGCUCAAAACUUUGUAGCUCAUCUUUGCCUUCCCGUCUGUUUAUUCUUGGUGUGGGGUUGUCAAGGAGAAAUGUUGGAAGGGAGAGAAGGGAGCAGGCAUCAUAGAUGGUAUUACAGGCGGCUGGUCUCUCCUCUCUCAGCCAACUAUGAGAACUAUUUGGGAUUGAAGGAGAUAAGCUACAGCAAGUCGUUACUUGUCCUGAAUGCACGACCUUCUUUCUUUGAGCAAGAGGACAAACCUGGAGCAUUAGGAAGACAAGCAGGGCCUUCAGUAGGCAUAAGGUGAUGAGGUUCAUGCCGUUGGAUCCCACGGGUGCCCUGGGGAAGAGAUGGUUGGGAAGUCUGAGAGGAAGCAGGAGAGCUUUCGGAGCACAUGGAUGCCGUCCAGAAUGGAGAUGGUUGUGGCUCGGAAGAAAAAGAAAUCACCCAGCUCGGAGUCAGGAUACAUUUGGAGGUCCAGGCCGCCGAGUUUGCUGGUGGGGAAGAUAGGCACCAGAAAGGAAAGAGGACAUCCAGGGCAAUUUCUUCUGCCCCCCAGCCAAUCCGUACAUUGUCCAGAGGCCAAGCCUACUGCUGUUAGAAAACAUAUUUAGAAAUCACUUGGUUCUUCCUUGCCUGAACAUCAUCUAUUUAGUUAGCUUGUGUUGUUUAGAUGUGCUUCAGAUCUCAAAAAAAUAAAUUAUGUUAUUUGAAAGCUUGCUCUCUGCUUGUUUACACUAUUAAUUUAGAGUCCAGAGGAAUCUCUAAAUUUGCCUCUAGAAACCACAUAAUCACCUAAUAAUACCUUUCCUGACUCCACUUUCUGACACAAAGUGACUUUUGAAACGCUUCCAUCUUCCCUUUCUAUUUAAUGUACUGCACUCCACUCUUUUUUCCUUUCGUUUUUUCUACAGUCCGUCAUGGAGUAUUUGUUUACCAAAUGUUACUUUUCUUGGAUCCAAUCUAUUUUUGAAGAGCGCAAAAGCAAACAACUGUUUGAAGCUGUCAAGCUUCAUUUUAUUUAUGCAUGAAUAACACAAAUAACUUGAAAAUGACCUAGUCUGUUUUUCUCAGAUUUAGAUAGAAAAACUGCUUCCGGCCAAUGUUUAUGCCAAUUUGUUCAUGCCAAGUUUCCAGUUUCGGUGCCAACCGGUUUUUACAGCCAAGUUGUAAACCUUCGGUAAACAUGGCUUAUAAUGAAAAGUGCAACACAGCCUGAACCCUGGCACCAGGGGACGGAUGUAAAUUUAUUCUAAGAACAAAAUUCUAACAGGAACAGGAGGGGAGCUAGGCUGGCUACAAAGUGUUCCCACCGUAAUAUGGAAAAUGUACAGAUGAUGAUAUAUUUGAUUACUAAGAUCCCAUUAGGCCAAUUUAGGCACUUUAUGUAUUUCCUUUGCUCUGGACGCUGAGUGGUUUCAUGCUCAAUUUGAAGCAACUGGCUCAUUGUCUCAGGGUGGUUCUAGAACUUUGCCUUCAGGUGGGGCUGGGGAGGGAGCC
rnacentral:lncRNA from 10 species